rnacentral:rRNA from 1 species
CCCUCUUUUUCCCCCUUUUUUCUUCCUCCCUUUUCUUCCCUCUCCUUUCUUCUUUUUUUCCCUUCUUCUUUUCCCUCCCCCUUCUCCCCCCUUUCCUUUCCUUCGAAACUGCCAGACUAGAGUCCUGGAGAGGAAGGCGGAAUACUGGGUGUAGAAGUGAAAUUCGUAGAUAUCCAGUGGAACACCGGUGGCGAAGGCGGCCUUCUGGACAGUGACUGACGCUGGAAUGCGAAAGCGUGGGGAGCAAACAG